rnacentral:rRNA from 1 species
UACGGAAGGGGCUAGCGUUGUUCGGAAUCAUUGGGCGUAAAGGGCGCGUAGGUGGUUUUGUGUGUCUACCGUGAAAGCACGCGGCUCAACCGCGUUAUGUCGGUAGAAACUGCAAGACUAGAGACUGGGAGGGGCUGGUGGAAUUCCCUGUGUAGCGGUGAAAUGCGUAGAGAUGGGGGAGAACACUCGUGGCGAAGGCGGCCAGCUGGACCAGUUCUGACACUGAGGCGCGAUAGCGUGGGGAGCAAACAGG